rnacentral:rRNA from 1 species
CCUACGGGUGGCAGCAGUGAGGAAUAUUGGUCAAUGGACGAGAGUCUGAACCAGCCAAGUAGCGUGAAGGAUGACUGCCCUAUGGGUUGUAAACUUCUUUUAUAUGGGAAUAAAACGUUCCACGUGUGGGAUUUUGUAUGUACCAUAUGAAUAAGGAUCGGCUAACUCCGUGCCAGCAGCCUCGGUAAUACGGAGGAUCCGAGCGUUAUCCGGAUUUAUUGGGUUUAAAGGGAGCGUAGGUGGAUUGUUAAGUCAGUUGUGAAAGUUUGCGGCUCAACCGUAAAAUUGCAGUUGAAACUGGCAGUCUUGAGUACAGUAGAGGUGGGCGGAAUUCGUGGUGUAGCGGUGAAAUGCUUAGAUAUCACGAAGAACUCCGAUUGCGAAGGCAGUUCACUGGACUGCAACUGACACUGAGGCUCGAAAGUGUGGGUAUCAAACAGGAUUAGAUACCCUAGUAGUC